rnacentral:rRNA from 1 species
CCUACGGGAGGCUGCAGUGAGGAAUAUUGGUCAAUGGACGCAAGUCUGAACCAGCCAUGCCGCGUGCAGGAAGACGGCUCUAUGAGUUGUAAACUGCUUUUGUACGAGGGUAAACGCAGAUACGCGUAUCUGUCUGAAAGUAUCGUACGAAUAAGGAUCGGCUAACUCCGUGCCAGCAGCCGCGGUAAUACGGAGGAUUCAAGCGUUCUCCGGAUUUAUGGGGUGUACAGGGUGCGUGGGCGGGGGGAUAAGUUAGAGGUGAAACGCGGGGGCGCAACCUGGGAAGUGCCGGGGAUAGUGGUCGGAUAGAGAGUAGGGGCGGUAGGGGGAAGGGAUGGGGUAGCGGUGAAAUGGUUAGAGAUCAUACAGAA